rnacentral:lncRNA from 1 species
UAAAAUAUUUUACAACACCUAAUAUACGAAAUCAACAUACCACCCUCUUCCUUGCAUUUCCCUAAGUGUGAAUCCGAUGUUCGUUUUUCACGAUUCUUCACCUGUAAAAUAAAUCGAAACCAAACAUAUAAGAAACUUAACUAACAAAAUGUAAAAGUAAAUUCCAAACACCUGGAAUCAAAGCCCUAGGGGUUGGGGGAUUUGAUUCCCCUAACUAAAACCUACAUUUUGGUAACGAGAUUGAAGCUAAUAACAAAAGAAAAGGAAAACUCACUGGUGAAGAAGACGUAGAAGGACACGAACUCCAGGUAAAUCUCUUCUGAAUUUUUUUCUCUUCAAAUCUUCUUCUUCUUCAAUCUUUUGUUAUCGAGUUCUUCUCCUUCUUCUUGUUCUGUGUUGAUCGAGUGUGAUUGAGAUUUCACGUGUGAAAUUGGUGAGUGAGAUGUGUGUGUGUAUGAAUAUAUCAGAGAGAGAGAGAGAGAGAGAGAGAGAGAGAGAGAGAGAGAGAGAAGAGAGAGAGAGAGAGAGAGAGAGAGAGAGAGAGAGAGAGAGAGGAAGGGAGAAGAGAGAGUUGAAGGAUCGUGAAAUUCUGAAUCUGAGUGAAUGAAUGAGAUGAAGAGCGAAUUUAGAGGAUGGAAAAGUUAACAGAAGUUAACCCUAUUAGACUUGGAUCAAAGCAAAACAUUUUGACGUUAGUUACUCUGUUAGUUUAGGGAAUCAUGAAAGUUAGUUAGAGAUGAAAUUGGAGAAAAAUCUAUUAUAGAAGUUGUUGGGUUCGAAAUUCUGUUAGAAUGGAUUGAAAUGAAUUUCAAUAUCUGUUAAAGUUUUGAUUUAGUUAGUGGAUGCAGUUAAGAAUGAAACUCUGUUAAGUGAUGAACAUGCCUGUUAGUGAAUUUCUGUUAUUGAUUCAGUUGAAAAAUCUGUUGCUAUUAAUUUUGUUAGGAGUUGGAUUUCUGUUAGCAGCUGAACUCGAUUUCUGUUAGAAGGGGCUUGUGUUGAAAUUUCUAUUAAGAAUGAAAUUCUGUUAAAUGCUCUUGUUAAUGUUGCUGCAUGUUAAAGUUAAUCAUGAGUGAAGAAUCAUUCUGUUAGUGAGUGAUGUGAAAUUAGUUUAGUUAUAAAAGUUGUUUAGUUAGAUUAGCUUGAAAUUAGUUUAGAGAGUGAAGUUUAUUGAUCGAAAUUGGUUAUGUCAAUGUUAAUUUGAACUUGCAGGUGGAUGAAUUUGGCUGCUGUUGAAUGAUAGUUAGUGAGAUGUUACAGUUAGAUUCUGUUAGUUAUGAACUGUUAUAGAAAUGCAUUGUUGUUGCUUGUUAUGAAGUUAAGUGAAUGCAUUGUUGUGAUUAUGUUAUAUUAAUUCCAGGUCUGCAUCAAACCUGUUAGAAUGCUCCUUUGUUAACUGCUAAUGAACCAAUUUUUGUUAUAUGCAAUGCAAUGGUUGUUUGGUUAGAUGUUUAAUGAUUGCAUAUGAGUGGUAAUUUGCUUGCAUUUUGAAUGGUGAUAAAAAGUGCUAUUAGGAAUGCUAUAGGAAUGAAUGUUAAUUGCCAAUUGGAUUGGAUGCAUGACUUGUUGUUAAUGGUUAUUUGUUUUGGAAAUGUGUAUGGUUAUGUUAACAUCGAUGAUGGAUGUUUGAUGCAUUGUUAUGAAUGCAAUACACUUAUGCUAUGAAUUAGGUUUGCUUAUGAAUGUUUAAAAUGUUUGGUAUGAUGUGAAUGGUUGUUAUGCUAUGUAUUGUUAAGAAUAUGGUUAUCAUAGUUGUGAAAUGAGUAGUUUGUGAAUUCUAUUGAAUGCAGGGUUGACUUAGUGAUGUGAAAUGUUUGCUUAGGCUUGGAAUCAAGAUGUUUGGAAUGACACAUGAAGAAAACCAAGGUUACUUACAAGUGAAGAAAUUUGGCCAUGAAGUUGAAAAUGAGGAUGAAAGCAUGAAGAACGAAGUCAACUAUAGGUAAAAAUCAUUUUUUUUUGUGAUUUCUUGUAUGAACAUUGUAACAUGAUAUGUAUGAACUCCAUGAAAGUUUUUGAAUGAGAAAAGUUCUUAUGAUCAAUGAAACAUGCUUUAAAUUCAAAUCAUUUCCC